rnacentral:rRNA from 1 species
UAACGCGAAGAACCUUACCUAGACUUGACAUCUCCUGCAUUACCCUUAAUCGGGGAAGUUCCUUCGGGGACAGGAAGACAGGUGGUGCAUGGUUGUCGUCAGCUCGUGUCGUGAGAUGUUGGGUUAAGUCCCGCAACGAGCGCAACCCUUAUUGUUAGUUGCUACCAUUUAGUUGAGCACUCUAGCGAGACUGCCCGGGUUAACCGGGAGGAAGGUGGGGAUGACGUCAAAUCAUCAUGCCCCUUAUGUCUAGGGCUACACACGUGCUACAAUGGCAAGUACAAAGAGAAGCAAGACCGUGAGGUGGAGCAAAACUCAAAAACUUGUCUCAGUUCGGAUUGUAGGCUGAAACUCGCCUACAUGAAGCUGGAGUUGCUAGUAAUCGCGAAUCAGCAUGUCGCGGUGAAUACGUUCCCGGGCCUUGUACACACCGA